rnacentral:ncRNA from 2 species
GACAUCGACAUGGGAGAACCGGCCUGACGUGCCGGUGCCGAAGGAGCAACCGCCCCGGAAACUCUCAGGCAACAGGACCGUGGCGAUAUU